rnacentral:rRNA from 1 species
AUACGGAGGGUGCAAGCGUUACUCGGAAUCACUGGGCGUAAAGCGCGCGCAGGCGGCUUGAUAAGUUGGAUGUGAAAGCCUACGGCUCAACCGUAGAACUGCAUCCAAAACUGUCAGGCUAGAGUCUGGGAGGGGAAGAUGGAAUUAGUUGUGUAGGGGUAAAAUCCGUAGAGAUAACUAGGAAUACCAAAAGCGAAGGCGAUCUUCUGGAACAGUACUGACGCUGAGGCGUGAAAGCGUGGGGAGCAAACAGGAUUAGAAACCCCGGUAGUCC